GACGGAGGAUGCAAGCGUUAUCCGGAAUUAUUGGGCGUAAAGCGUCCGCAGGUGGACAUACAAGUCUGCUGUCAAAGUGCAGAGCUUAACUCUGUAAAGGCGGUGGAAACUGUAGGUCUUGAGUAUGGUAGGGGUAGAGGGAAUUCCCGGUGUAGCGGUGAAAUGCGUAGAUAUCGGGAAGAACACCAGUGGCGAAAGCGCUCUACUGGGCCAUAACUGACACUGAGGGACGAAAGCGUGGGGAGCGAACGGG
rnacentral:rRNA from 1 species